GUGCCAGCAGCCGCGGUAAUUCCAGCUCCAAUAGCGUAUAUUAAAGUUGUUGCAGUUAAAAAGCUCGUAGUUGAAUUUCGGGAUUGACUCGAUGGUCGUGCCUUAAGGGGUAUGGAACUGUCGUUGUUGAUUUCUCACCUUCUGGAGAAGCUCGAUGCCAUAAUGGAUGUCGUGGGAAUCAG
rnacentral:rRNA from 1 species